GCAGAAUCGUUUAACCACUGUAUUAAAACACACAUUCUUCGCGAGUGACAUACUUACUACUCCAAGGCUUGCUAGUCAGCGCUAGUGGAAGAUCGUUGACACUAGCGAUAUUUUCUUCACUGAAAGAUGACUAAUUCUCAGCUUUGGAAACUUCUCAUCGACACUAUUUCACAGCCCGGGCAUACUUCAUUGCGCGUGGCGUCAUCAAGUUUGCCCACUCGAUCAAGCAAAACCGGAACGGAACAGAACGGGCUCUGUGCAAAGCUCUCUUACGUCAUCAGAAUUGAUCUCUCCCUCGUGGAGCAGAGCAUGGGGAAGGUGUGAUACAUCUACGGUCCUUUUUUGGUUCCUCCGCCGAUCACUGUGAGCAACGUAUAGGCAACAAAGAAAAAACGUUUCGUGGCAAACAACACAGUUUCACAACAAAACGGGUGCAUUUGAAGGAAUGGUGUGGGAAGAGAUUGAACUGCAAAAUCCCUCAACAUGUCGCAAACACGAUGGCACACCAAGCCGGCACCACCGUCCAAUACGGCCAAAGCCACAUGGGCUUUGAAAACCGGUUUUGCAUCAUAUAUUUAUGCAUUCCCCGUGCCUUUACGUGUCUCUUCUAACCGAGCCCA